UACGAAGGGGGCUAGCGUUGCUCGGAAUCACUGGGCGUAAAGCGCACGUAGGCGGCGUCUUAAGUCAGGGGUGAAAUCCUGGAGCUCAACUCCAGAACUGCCUUUGAUACUGAGAUGCUUGAGUCCGGGAGAGGCGAGUGGAACUGCGAGUGUAGAGGUGAAAUUCGUAGAUAUUCGCAAGAACACCAGUGGCGAAGGCGGCUCACUGGCCCGGUACUGACGCUGAGGUGCGAAAGCGUGGGGAGCAAACAGG
rnacentral:rRNA from 1 species